rnacentral:tRNA from 1 species
GCGGGGGUGCCGGAGAGGCCAAACGGGCAGGACUCAGAUAAGAACCAAGGUUCUUAGAUUCCUAUAAUACAUAACUAGGAACUGGGCGCCAAACUUAAGGUCCUCCGAGAAAACUGGAGGAGGAGAUAUCCUGUGGCUUAGUGCCUGCGAAGGUUCGAUUCCUUCCCCCCGCA